rnacentral:miRNA from 1 species
GGUUGGCCCAAAAGUCCGUUCGGGUUUUUCUGUAAAAUGUUACAGGAAAGCCAAUCAAACUUCUGGGGCAACCC